GGAAUAUUGGUCAAUGGUCGCAAGACUGAACCAGCCAAGUAGCGUGCGGGAUGACGGCCCUAUGGGUUGUAAACCGCUUUUGCAGGGGAAUAAAGUCGCGGACGUGUCCGCGUUUGCAUGUACCCUGAGAAUAAGGACCGGCUAAUUCCGUGCCAGCAGCCGCGGUAAUACGGAAGGUCCGGGCGUUAUCCGGAUUUAUUGGGUUUAAAGGGAGCGCAGGCUGGCUGUUAAGCGUGCUGUGAAAUGCCGCGGCUCAACCGUGGAAGUGCAGCGCGAACUGGCGGUCUUGAGUGUGUACGACGUAGGCGGAAUUCGUGGUGUAGCGGUGAAAUGCUUAGAUAUCACGAAGAACCCCGAUUGCGAAGGCAGCCUACGAGUCCAUAACUGACGCUAAAGCUCGAAGGUGCGGGUAUCGAACA
rnacentral:rRNA from 1 species